UGAGUACGAGAUGCUACGGCGUCGAAGCAGUCUAUGUCAUACUUCCAAGAAAAGCUCGCACUGUCAUAAACAAAGAAUGCCUGUACCAUAACCGACACAGGUGGGUAGGUAGAGUAUACUAAGGGGCGCGAGAUAACUCUCUCCAAGGAACUCGGCAAAAUAACUCCGUAACUUCGGGAGAAGGAGUGCCUUAUUUAUAAGGCUGCAAUAACAAGAUCCAAGCAACUGUUUAUCAAAACACAGGUCUCCGCUAAGUCGUAAGACGAUGUAUGGGGGCUGACGCCUGCCCAGUGCCAGAAGGUUAAAGAAGUUGGUUAGCAUUAGCGAAGCUGAUAACUGAAGCCCUGGUGAACGGCGGCCGUAACUAUAACGGUCCUAAGGUAGCGAAAUUCCUUGUCGGGUAAGUUCCGACCCGCACGAAAGGCGUAAUGAUUUGGAUACUGUCUCGGAGAGGGGCUCGGUGAAAUAGACUUGUCUGUGAAGAUGCGGACUACCUGCACCAGGACAGAAAGACCCUAUGAAGCUUUACUGUAACUUGAAAUUGAAAUUGGACUUUAGUCGCGCAGUAUAGGUGGGAGGCUUUGAUAAUACUCUUGCGGGAGUAUUGGAGCUAUCAGUGAGAUACCACUCUUCUAAUGUUAGAUUUCUAACUUUGAACCAUUAUCUGGUCAGAGAACAGUUUCAGGCGGGCAGUUUGACUGGGGCGGUCGCCUCCUAAAUGGUAACGGAGGCGUACAAAGGUUUCCUCUGAACGGGUAGAAAUCGUAUCUAGAGUGUAAAGGCAUAAGGAAGCUUGACUGUGAGACCUACAAGUCGAACAGGGACGAAAGUCGGUCUUAGUGAUCUGACGGUACUGAGUGGAAAGGCCGUCACUCAACGGAUAAAAGUUACUCUAGGAUAACAGGCUGAUCUCCCCCAAGAGUUCACAUCGACGGGGAGGUUUGGCACCUCGAUGUCGGCUCAUCGCAUCCUGGGGCGGUAGUACGUCCCAAGGGUUGGGCUGUUCGCCCAUGAAAGCGGUACGCGAGCUGGGUUCAGAACGUCGUGAGACAGUUCGGUCCAUAUCCGGUGUAGGCGUUAGAAUAUUGAGAGGAGCCUUCUUUAGUACGAGAGGACCGAGAAGGACAUACCUAUGGUGUACCAGUUAUCGUGCCAACGGUAAACGCUGGGUAGCUAAGUAUGGAGUGGAUAACCGCUGAAAGCAUCUAAGUGGGAAGCCCACCUCAAGAUGAGUAUUCUCU
rnacentral:rRNA from 1 species